rnacentral:tRNA from 1 species
GCUUGGGGUGUAGCUCAGUGGUAGAGUGUGUGCUUAGCAAGCACAAAGCCCUGGGUUCAAUCAUCAGCAAAAGUA